UUGGAAAAUCCAACUGCGCCACGGGGCGGAGCGGCCCCCCCAGCCCCGGCCUGGGAGAGGGGGGGGCCGCUCGACCCCCUGGGAGACCUUGGGGAGCCUGAACACCUGGGACAACCCAGAAUCAGGUUCCCCCAGGCACCAUGCCAGCCCCAUAGUGCCACGCACCCCACCCUCUGUGGUCUGCUGCACCCCACUGCUGGGGCACUUGUUCCAAUGAGACAGGGCACACCAAACUCCAUCUGUCUGUUACUGAGGCGGAGACACGGGUGAUGAUUGGCUUUCUGGGGAGAGAGGAAGUCCUGUGAUUGGCCGGAUCUGUGGAGCUCGCCGACGCGCUGAGAGGACGCUCCCACGGAGGCCGGAAUUGGCUGUGAAAGGCCCUGGGCUGCCAUCUGGGGGCAGUGGGCCCUACUGUCAGAGCAGCUGGAGCGGGACCAUCACCCCAGAGAGCUGGGGCAGGGGGCCGUGCCCGAUCUCCAGGGCUCCUGGGGCCACUGCUGACCUGGUAAGGGAAAGACUGGGGCUAGGUUGGCUGUGUGUACAUUGGCAGCUCAGGCUCUGCCCCCAGUAAGAUCAUCAUC
rnacentral:lncRNA from 1 species